AAUAUUACUUUAUUUAAAUUUUACUUCAAUUUUACUUUACUACUGCAUGAGUGGGAAUUAUUUUGGCUGCUUUAAUGCAAUAAUUCUUUUCUUAUUUUGACUUAUUUUUACUUUUUUUUAAGGAAGAAACAUUCAUGAUAUGUUUUCUAACUUUCCAUUUUUUGUGUUAACACUUACAGCUUGUAGGGUGGUUUCAUCUGUGCCAUCUGCAUGCCAUAUUGUACAUCAGAUGGCGGGAUAAAAUCUGUAACAAGAACGUUUUGGGACAUAGAAGUCUUUCAGGGUUCGAAGCAAUGAUAUUCAGAGCACGAACGUGCAGAGCCACUCAGAUAUCUGAAACAGAAGACGCAGAAUGCCAAAGCAGCUGCUGAGUGAAAGAGAGACCACACAGUUGGGGCAGCAUACAAGCAGCGAGGACAAAAGAACGUUUGAGGGAACAAGAAAGUGCAACUUCAGGCAGUGAGAAACUGGAGUCAAUCACUGGGAAUUAUUGACAAGCAGCCAUGCGCCCGCACAGUGAUUAGAGGCUCGCUUUGAGAAGCAAUGACAAUUAAUGCUGAGGGUUUUAGACAUGUUCACCGUCACAAAGCAAGACACCAUUGCCUGUACAAUCUUCUGUUAUGAAGGACUGCCUAACAGCUAAAUAUGACGUUACAGUUUGUGCAAGGAUUGAUGGGGCCCAAUGGAACUCCAGAGUUUGAUAGGCUUAAAACAGUACCCUGUCUAGACACAGUAGGAUGCUUUUCCCUUUUCUAAGAAGCAUACCCCUAACAGCAGACUACGCCAGCAAAAGGUAAAAGGCAUUAUCCUGCCUAAAUUUAAGUUAUUCUUUGAAAAG
rnacentral:lncRNA from 1 species